rnacentral:rRNA from 1 species
UACGUAGGGUGCAAGCGUUGUCCGGAAUCACUGGGCUUAAAGCGUGUGUAGGCGGAUAUCUAAGUACCUUGUGAAAUCCCACGGCUCAACCGUGGAACUGCUUGGUAUACUGGGUGUCUUGAGCCAUCUAGGGGCUACCGGAACAAAUGGUGGAGCGGUGAAAUGCGUAGAUAUCAUUUGGAACGCCAAUGGUGAAAACAGGUAGCUGGGGAUGUGCUGACGCUGAGACACGAAAGCCAGGGGAGCAAACGGG